UUAUACACAAACCCUCAUUAUGGUGGACAAAAGAAAUGCAUAUGAAGCCGCUUUUAAGUUAAAGGCAGUCGAUUUAGCUCUUAACGAAGGAAGAAUAUAGCUGCUCGUGUACUGUAGAGGUUUCCUCUGGCCACUAGAGGGCACUGGGCUAUUGUUGAUUACAUCUUGUUGCGUCACCCUUUUCAGUAUUUAUUUCCCAGUCAUGUCUUCUCCGGAGCUAUACUGUAGCUCGUAUCAAAUUGCCAACUUUACCGCUGUAAGUGGUCCCAUUUUAUUUAUUAUUAGUUGUGUGUUGCUAGUGUUCCCUGCACAUUAAGUUUAUUAUUGUUGUCGCUGAGAUUUAUACAUGAUUGUAUGUUUGCAGAGCUCCUUCAUCUCUGUCAAUAAACGCUAUGUUAAUAAAAGGUAUGUGUGCCCCAAAGAACCAUCUAUUUCCUAACAAUCUCAUUUGUGUAUAUUCUCUUACAAAUGGUAAUUAAACAUUAAAACAUCUGCGGCUUAUAGUCCGGUGCAGUUUAUAUAUGAACAAAGCAAGAUUAUCCCCUAAUUUUAGCUGCUGCGUUUUAUAAUCAGGUGUGAUUUAUAGUCCAGAAAAUACGGUAUUUCUUUUAAAUUCACUCCUGUGGAAGAGAGGGCAGCCAACAUGUUUUUAUUUCUGUGGGAAACCAGAGCUGGAAUGGCACCCAAUGCCUAUUUUGUGUGAGACAACAGUGCUGAGCUCUCUUCCACCAUGUUGAACUACAUGUAAAUUUCCGUCACCAUUUUUACAGUGUAUUUAUUCACCUACCAAAACUGAACUGCUCAAGACACCCAUUUUAGCAUCAUAGCCGUUAAUCCCUGCUGCACACUUUGUUCUUCAGAAGGCAAAAUCGAAAUACUGAUUAACAUUUUUUAUUAAUUGGCCAGCCUUAGAGCUCCCCAUAUCGGCUGUCACGUUCGGAUUCUUUUAGAUGGCAAAAUAGCAGAGAUUGAGUCAGCAGCACUUCUACUGGUUGCACCCAAGUAGUGCAAUUCAUUUCGCUUCACUUGCUUUAAGAUAAGAUUGAUAAACACGCAUGAAUUUCACACGAUUGACAGAAUUCUUUGAUUGAUUAAAGGAAUGUUGUCCCAAUGACUUCUCUAUGGUCUCUAAAUAAAUAGUCUUAUUUUCCUACUUUUCUGUUCUUCAUUUAAAUAGAACAACCCUCACAAGUUUUUCCUCCAAGGCAUUAAUGUUUCAGCAGGUGAAAAUGAAAUAAUUGCAAAAAUGUUACGUUUGCUUGCUAUCUCCUCUGAGGGGCAUUUAAAUACACAAUGAGCUUUUAGAUAGAAGCACAAGUGGUGGCUGUUGAAUUAGAUUGCACCGACGUGCGACGUGUUUGCGCUUGGAGGAACGCUGCCGGCAGAAGCUCUUAGUUCCUUAAAAUUAAGCAAAGCAUAUUGGUACAUAGGUUUAUGCUAAUCUCACCAGUAUGUCUCUGAGGCAUUGCAGACAAAUUUCAGCACUUGCGGGGGGAAUAUUAAAUAGCUGUCGUGUUUGUUAUUAACUGGAUUACUUUGUUGUGUGAUUUGGAAAAAAGGGGAUGGGGGUGUUCAAGUGCUGAGGUUAAAGUUUUCCGCUAUCAACCUCACAUAGGGCUUAAUGACAAUAUCAAAGAGCUUGGCGCUGAGCUCUGCACCAGCAUGUCAGAAUCUUGACAAAUCACCUAGGAUACAUUUGUCAGAUUUUCUUUCCUUUUUUCUUUGUGAUGUUUCUGUAUCAUUAGCUACGGUAAAGGUGACAAAUGUUAAAAAAAAAAAACAGGCUGACUUUUUCAUAAAGAUUGCAAACAGUCACACAUCUACCAUAGCGCUUCCGAAAGACAUAUCCUACUUGGCAGGCUCAGCUUAGAUCAGUUGAAAUAUUAUAAAUAGAAGUGAAGACUAAAAGAAGUUCAUCUGAUGUUUAUAGUGUACUCGCACAUAAUAUGUGGUUCAAGGUCUACUUAUUUAUCAACAAAAUUCAUGUAAUAGAAAUAAUCAAACCCUGAGUCAUGCUGCAGCCAUCAUCAAACAUUUAUUAGUUUUAAAGUGAAAAUAGUCUUGUAAAUGUGACACACCACACCUGCUUCAUGCGUGAAACCACGCCUUGCUGUAAAAUGGAUGCGACUUCAGCUACCAUCUUUCCUAUGCUGACACAUCCCCACUUGUUUGAGUCGCAAGAAUAGAUCUGAAAACCUCCGUUGGCUGAAAUAUAUGUAUUCCAGUGGGUCAUCACGCAGCUUUCCAUGCCAGCGGGCUUUGACUUUCACAUCUGUGCUAUACAGUAUGGAAUCAUCUGUAUUUUCAGAUACCGUUGUUUCCAAGCAAACGCAGUUGCAGUACAUACCGGCAUGUGAAGCUGUUACACGAGCUGAUAUGAUGACCUUUAUUCCACAGUAUAAUUUCUCCUCUGGCAGUGUUGAUAGCAGCACGAGGAUGCGAUACCUUUUUUAAGAGAGGCAUCUUAUUAUCGGGACCCUUCCUUGUUAUUUCAUUUUGGUGCAAAUAAAUGGCCUUUGCCUUGAGUUGUUCCUUGCGGACGUUUUGUCUGUAUCAGUGCAGCAAUGUUGCAAGGAUAACCACAUUACAACAACUCCGUAGCAGAUCCUUGGUGACCAUCACCGUACAUCAAGCAGCAAGCAAACAUUACUCAUUAAAAUAUUCAGAAUCCUUUCUACACUGUACUUAUGGAUUUUUUAAAGAAAAUAAAUAUCCUGGAAGAGUUGUGGAGAGAGGUUUGCGUUCAAAAGGAAUUAGACAGCAUUCCAAACAUGCCCACCUUGACCCGUCAUCUACCUGUUUCAUUUGCUUUCUGUUUAAUUUUGCAGGAAACAUCGUUAAAAUUAAAAAUAUAUGUUUAUUUCACCUGAAGACAUGCCGCGGUGAAACAAUGGGGAAGAAAUAACGUAAUAUACAUUGACUGCCUUCCAGUCUGCUUCUUCCGUGAUUUCGAGAAAGCAGUGCAAUCUUGGCAACUUUUAACGUGAAAACAAUGCAGUGUUUUAAUAGCGAGCAAAUGGGUUGCUCCCCACCCUUACUUUAAAAAAAAGAAAAAAAAGCCUUUAAUUGAUUUAAUGGUUGUUGACUCCCACAUGCUUGAACAGAUGUAGCAUCAACUAUUCCUAGAACUGAGGGCGCAAAGAAGGGAGUAAUAGACUUAAAAAAAAA